UGACCACUGAUUCUAAACUGUGGGUACC
rnacentral:piRNA from 1 species